UACAGAGGUCCCAAGCGUUGUUCGGAUUCACUGGGCGUAAAGGGUGCGUAGGUGGCUUGGUAAGUCUGAUGUGAAAGCCCUGGGCUCAACCUGGGAAUGGCAUUGGAUACUGGCGACCUAGAGUGCGGUAGAGGGGUGUGGAAUUCCCGGUGUAGCAGUGAAAUGCGUAGAUAUCGGGAGGAACAUCUGUGGCGAAGGCGACACCCUGGACCAGCACUGACACUGAGGCACGAAAGCGUGGGGAGCAAACAGG
rnacentral:rRNA from 1 species